AUUGUUUAAUGGAAUAUAAAAGAAAGGGAAAGUGGAUAACCAUCAUCUAUAAGAAGUAGAAGGAACCGAAGCAGCCUGCUUCAAAUAAUGUGCUUAUGACCAUGGGAUCUUUUCAUCUGAUAUGCUGCUGAGACCUUCCAAAUACAUCGCCCCCACCAUUAUUAGAAUGUGAGCUCCUUGGGAACAAAGACUGUCUUUCUUAUUUAUAGACCUAAGACUUAACACAGAAAUGCUCUUAAUAAAUGUUUCAUUCACUCA